UAGGAAUUUCUCACACUGGUUUAUUGCAUAGGAAAAGAGAGUCAUAAUUCUUUUUGUAACCAUAGAAGUAUCAUCAAAAUACAGAAUUAUUUGUAAUGCUAAUGAGAAUUUUCUUCACCAGGUAGUGCUGUUUGCAAAACAUCUGGUGCACCAUGCCAAAAAUACAUGGGAGCUGAAAGGCAGGAUGCAAACUUUGCCUCAGGAUCUUCUCCACCAGGUGUCCUUACAAGUAUUACAGAUGAGAGAAACUGAGAGCAAGAAAGUUGAAGUCAUUGGUAAAUGGAGGCACUGAUGCUCAAGUCUCCAGAUUCUUAUUCAGUGAUCUGUCUACUCUACCAUGAGGAUUCUUAUAUAAACUAUUGUUUAGAACAUCUUCCUUAUUAAUUUUUAUUUUAUCCACUGCUUUUCAUAUGGGAACCACAAGAAAUAUUUCCUGAAUUAAACUGAAAUUUUAAAGAUGGACAACUUGAAACUUUGUUGAGAAAGCAGCCUAACAUUGAAACUGUGCCAUAUGAACUGCACUGAUUAAAUGGGCACAUUACGUUUAUAAGACCCUAUCCCUUACGAGAGUCAGGACGCAUCACAGGGUGACUGUAUAUUCCAUUGGACCUGAUGUGGUCAGAGAGGUCAAUAAAUGCUCUUCUCUGCAGACAGACAAUCAAUUCCUGAGGCCAGGUGGUAUGUUGCAAAGACCAGACUGUCAAGUCAAAUGACACAGAUACAAAUUUAGACUCAGCUUCUCUAACUCUGGGCAAAUUUCUUGAUUUCUCAAAUAUUAGGUUCUUAUGAAAAAUGAGAUAAUCACAACUAUCUCAAAAUUAUUCUAAUAAAUAAAUAAAUGAAUAUAAGUGCA